rnacentral:rRNA from 1 species
GAUGAACGCUGGCGGCGUGCCUAAUACAUGCAAGUCGAGCGAACGGACGAGAAGCUUGCUUCUCUGAUGUUAGCGGCGGACGGGUGAGUAACACGUGGAUAACCUACCUAUAAGACUGGGAUAACUUCGGGAAACCGGAGCUAAUACCGGAUAAUCUUUUGAACCGCAUGGUUCAAAAGUGAAAGACGGUCUUACUGUCACUUAUAGAUGGAUCCGCGCUGCAUUAGCUAGUUGGUAAGGUAACGGCUUACCAAGGCAACGAUGCAUAGCAGACCUGAGAGGGUGAUCGGCCACACUGGAACUGAGACACGGUCCAGACUCCUACGGGAGGCAGCAGUAGGGAAUCUUCCGCAAUGGGCGAAAGCCUGACGGAGCAACGCCGCGUGAGUGAUGAAGGUCUUCGGAUCGUAAAACUCUGUUAUUAGGGAAGAACAUAUGUGUAAGUAACUGUGCACAUCUUGACGGUACCUAAUCAGAAAGCCACGGCUAACUACGUG